GGAGCGAUACCCAAGUGGUUGAAGGGGCGGGCUUGGAAAGCUCGUAGAACUGUAAAAAGUUGCCAGAGUUCAAAUCUCUGUCGCUCCGCCA
rnacentral:tRNA from 1 species